rnacentral:lncRNA from 1 species
AUUACCAUUCAGUCCAAAGAAACAACUUUUUUCAAUUAACUUGACCUUUAGAAUAAGACAGAAGCUGAAUUUUUAGAUUGACUUCACUUUUCUUCCCCUACGCUUGACUGUUUUGCAUGUGCACGUUGCCAUAGUGUUAGUCUAAGGAUCUUUGGUAAGUGAUGUAACAAUACAAACAAAAAAGCAAAGAACCAUUGAGUCAGAUUUUUCUGUGUGUGUCAUCUACCCCUUGAUUGGAGAUAUGUGAGGAUGUAAUGCCUGAAGUAGUGGCAGCUACCUUGUUGACUAUAAGGAAAGAAGCCUGAAGACAAUGGUCAACAUGCCAAAGACAGCAAAAUAGAAUGAUGGAAAUCACAUGGCUCCUUCUAGCUCAGACUUCUUGCUAUGAGAGCACAGAGCCCUCCUCUCACCAUCCUGAUUAUACUUUGUGGCUUUGUACCUUGGGAUGUCUUGAGGAAGCUUUUGGUGACUGGAGCUAUACGGAUAUGAAGGGAUGGUCUCCAGCCAGAGGACUUCAGUCAUCUGCAUCCAUUAAGAUGAAUGUCCUGAUUGCGCUUCAUAACGAAUAUUCUCAGAAUGCCAGAGGCUACAUGGAACUGUGCCAAGUGCUCCAUUACACCUGUGCAGCUGGCUAAACUGAAGAACUGCUUGGGGCAAUCCUCAUGCUCUCACUAUGCUCUCAGCAAGAACACCUGGGAUUCUUCAGCCUUGCCAUGUGUGGAGAACAGCCCAAAAAUAGGCCUGCUCAGACUUCCAAGAUGGAUUGCUAGACUUUGUGAGUCACCUCUGAAACCUAAAGCUCUGUGCUUUGUGAUUUUUGUUUGCAUCAUUAGGAUGAAGAAUUUCAGCAAACCUAGCCAGAAUUACUUGUGACUAAUCUUAGCAGAUAAAAAAGCAAGCAUUUUCUCUUUCAAACCCACAUACAUAUACAAAAGGUAAAUAAAACCUUGAAUUGGAUAACCCUUUCCCAGCUAUUUCUCAAUAAAAUACUCAUAAAACAAAAACUUUAUAGUAUAAGUAUGGUAUUCUACUAAAAAUGCAAAAUAUAUUUCCCAACUUGGUGCAGCUUUCUAAAUAUAUGUUAACAUACAGUACAAGUAAAGAGUAAUUAAAUCUCAUGCAUCAAAUAGAUUUCACUUUGUGUCUUCAUAACAGGAAGGUGAGUGAGGUCUGGAAGGCUGGGAAGGCUGGGAUUCUCAUGAGACUAAAGAGUAAACCAAACUGGACUCUGUAGAAUACAUAGAAUGAGCUUUAUCAUGCAAGAGCUAUGCUUUGCCAGAGUGACCCUCCUGUGCCCUAUUCUGUAUCCUGUCCCAUGUUUUAUGAUUAAGGAGACAUAAUCAAUGUUAGAAGGCUGUAUGUUGCUAGUAUGCACCCAUAACAAGGUACAAGUUAGAACCUGGAAAUAACCUGGAAACAGAAAAAG